GGUAUUCUAAUGCGGAUCGCAGGUAUAAUUUCAGAAUCCUUUUUCACUUCGAGAAGAUCCCAGGUAUAAUUCCCGAACCCUCUUUCGCUUCGCGAUUUGUGGACGCGUCCAGGACAGGACCCAAUUUUUUUGAAAUUUUGUAUGACUUCGGCUUUUGUGGACGUCUUAUGAGUCGUCGUGUGUACGCAGCCAAUAACUUCGCUAGUCGUUCAGCUGGUCGUUUAAUUAUUCGAUCAUUUUAUGAGCUCCGUGAGUGUCUUUCUGCCAGAUGGGUGUCAGUCAGUGUUCACUCGACACUCAUUUUUAAAAUAACGCUCAAUUGAGUUACCGUACAUUGCGCGCGAGAAGAAUGAACUGGGCCUGGCGGAUUCGAACGUUCACGUUUGUAUGGAAAGAAAUCCGCGAGGUUUUGAGCUGCGGAUUUUAAACGAAUCUGUUUGGGGAUGGAUUUUUUUCAGUAAAUUUUGCUGUUUUAGCUUUCCAUGAAUGUUAAUAAGCUCUUUGAAACAAAUUUUAUGUGUUUAAUAAUUAUUUUUAAAAUAAAUUUCAUGAUUUACAACUAAAAAGAAAAGUUAUUUCUUUAUUUGUUUUAUUACUAAUUAAUGAUUACGGCUAUGGCCGAGAAAAGUUAUUUCUCUUGUAGUAAAAACAACUGAUAUUUUGAUUAUCACCAGUGUUUCAGUAUGCAAAUAAUUUGGAAAAUCAACGGUACAAAUUUUUUUAUUUUAUUUUAUUUUUAUUUAUUUGUUUUAUUAUUUUUAUUUAUUUUUUCUACAACUUUGUUUAAAAAUUAACAUUUCCAUAUACAAAGUACAGUCAAAGUUAUGAACCUUUUAUAUUUUCUACAUAUUUAAAAAAUCGAUCCCAAUUUUAUGAAUAUGUUUUAUAUUUUUUUUUUAAUCAAGACAUAUUUAAAUUAUAAAAACGAAUUUAAAUGUGUUCCUUAUCGUGGUUAAUCCUAACUGUUCCUGGUUUCUUACUGACCAGACUGGUCGUUGCGGACUAUAGAAUAUGUUCUAGGAAACGAGCAAUCGGAGCGAACACAUGAUUGUAUUCUUUACUAUAUUUUGAAGAAAAUGUUCUAAAAAUGUAUAUUGCACGCGUGUUAUGAGUGUGUGCAGUGUGUGUCAAAUGUCACAUACAGGCCAGAACGAAAGGUCAAUAGUGUUUGAACAAUCAUAUGAAACAUCAAUACUGCAUGGUUCGUAUUGGAAAAUUCUAUAGAAAACAACACAACCCCAACUGUUUUUUUUUUUCGUAACAACCCGUCGCCGAUUUGCCUUAGUUUGUUUUAGUUCAGGUGAUAAACUCGUUGAAGUAACAACGUAAUUAGUGCUACACUUGUAUAAAUAUGUCUGUAAGUAUGUUAAAUUUAAAGUACAUUCCAAUUUAUUAUUACAAAAUAUGAAAUAUAUUUUAGGACAAACGAAAAACUACGAAUAAGGCGCAGUUUGAGCGACUUAUUUCCCUAAUCGAGCAAAAUGCUGAUGUUGUGGGUGACAGGAGUAAAGGAAGCGCUGGAUUUUGGGAAAAAGUAUCUAGCGAACUAAAUCAGUUAGGACCUCCCGUGAAAGAUGGCUCUGGUUGGAAAAAGGUAAAUUAACGUUGCGAAUUUUUAUGUAUGAAAUGAAUUGAAAUUUAUUAAAUUGAGAAAAAAAUUAAAUUUAUUUUUAGGUCUGGGCCGAUUAUAAGUCGGGCUUGAAAAAAAAAAAACUCGCCCACAACAACAGAGAAUAUAGGGCUACAGGUGGAGGUCCAUGCAAUUUAAGCACUUUUACUAUGAUGGAAAAACAUGCCAUUGACAUGCUGGACCUAAGGCGGUGUGUAGAAGGUACACCUAAUGUACCCGUUUUAGGUUUGGCAUGUGAGGGAAAUGAGCCUCAACCCGGAACAUCCUCACAAUCUGAACAGCAACGACAUCAGCAGCAAGAACUACCCAUCUGACAAUUUCCGAAGAUUUCAUAUUGACCUCUCGCUCUUUCAUCAUUCUCUCUCGCUAUUUUUGAGUGGUUUUUGCCGUUCGUGCCCUGUGGUGAGCGGUUUUGUCAAUGUGUUGGUGUUGAUCGUGCCUGCUGAGCAACCCGAAUGUGGUUUUGACUAUUUUUCUUCUUUUUUCUGCAACCGAUCGGUAUAUCAAUUUCAGCAAAGAAAAAAACAUAAUCUUCUUAUGUGGUGUGUUUCGAUAUAAUUACGAAGGAGUUUUUUGUGGUGGUAGUGCUAACGAAAAUCAAAGUACACUAGAAUUUGCAGGUGAAUGUGUAACAAUAAAAAAAUUAUUGUGCAAGCAACUGCAACCCGGUACGUGAUAAAAAUGUCCAGGAUGAACGGCAAUUUCUACUCGAAAUGUCGCCAAGCAAUGCAGGAGCUUGACCGCGAAUACGAGGACGCAAAGGAACGGCACCGCCGUGCAGGAAAUAGUGGAAGGUUUAAUCUGGUGCCUUUUCCGGAUAUUGAUAUGGAACCAGAACCAUACGCAGCAGGACUACGACCAGCAUCAGCAUCGGCAACAGCACCAGUACCAACAUCAGCACCAGGAGUCAGCAACACGGAGCUAGGACAGGAUUUUUUAAAUAUAGUUAACAUUAAUAACGGUAGUGGUGAUGGUAAUAAUUAUGAUACUAACAAUUCCGACCAGGAGGACAUUAAUUUGGAUGGGGACAGCUGUGUCGAUUUUGACGACGACAUGGUUGGUCGGGACGAUGCGUACGAUUUUAUCGAUGAAAUGGAUCUUAUAGACAAUCUGAGAUACCUUGUUGUUACGUGUCAGCUCCCCCGUUCGACGGCCAACUUGUUACUGGCGAUCCUACGGAAGAAGCUAAACUUAGAUCUUCCCAAAGAUGCGCGGACCCUAGUGAAGACACCCACUGGGAUUGGAAAGAUUGUUAAACCAAUUCCUGGUGGUGAUUAUUGGUAUGGAGGUCUUAAGUCGGUCCUGGCCCAACAUUUGCAGAACGUCAAUCCCGGAGUGACACCUUUUUCGUUGGAUGUGUCAAUCGACGGGCUACCUCUUCACAGAGCUGGGCCAACCCAACUUUGGCCGAUUCUAGUGAAAGUGGUAGAGUUGCCAAAGGUGCCGGUGAUGAUGGUGGCUACGUUUAGUGGCGCAUCAAAACCGGGAAGCAUCAUACCAUAUCUGGAGCCGUUCAUAGAUGAGCUGAAUCUGAUUCAGCGGGAAGGUUUGGUUAUCGGCGAUAAAACGGUGCAUUUUAGAGUCCGCGCUUUUAUCGCUGAUUCACCAGCUCGUGCUUUUUUAAAGGCAACAACGAGCUAUACGGGUUAUCACGGUUGUUUGAAGUGUUCUGCUGUUGGCGAAUACUCUCCCAUAGGUAAAAAGAUGAUCUUUGAUACCGUGGAUGCUCCCCUACGUACGGACGCAGGGUUUCGUAAUAGAGUAUGCAGGGGACAUCAUAAGACAUGGCGAACCCCGCUGGAAAAAUUAGAUAAUUUUGAUAUGAUCAAUGGAGUUGUUUCCUGCGAUCGACUACAUUUAGUUGAUUUGGGUGGGACCCGGGGUCAUUUGCGGGGAAUGAUUGAUGGGAAGUUUACGACGGUUUGUGAUAAGUGGACCCCCCGAUCGAAGGAAACUGUAUCGCGAUUUUUAUUACGUAUGCAGCUUCCUUCUGAGGUGCAUCGGCGUAUGCGGCACCUCAAACAUAUCGCCUUUUGGAAAGGAUCCGAAUAUCGGACCUUCCUCCAUUACGCAAGUGUUGUGGUCAUGAAGGACUAUAUGGAUUGUAAAACAUAUAGUCACUUCCAACUCUACUUUUGCGGUGUGACGAUUUUUUCUUCAUCGGCACAUCAGCACCUCUGGCCUCUAGCAGCCGUAUUCCUUCGCAAAUUUGUGAAGGAGUUCGGCACGAUUUAUGGUCGUAUCUACAUGACGAGCAAUAUCCACAAUCUCCAACACGUGUCUGGAGAGGUUGCGUUGUAUGGACCGCUCGAUGGUUUCUCAGCCUAUCCAUUCGAAAAUCAUUUACAAUUGAUUAAAGGCUGGGUCCGUUCGGGCACGAAAUGUGCGCAGCAAGUGGCAGCUCGAUCAGACGAACUUGCACGCGUCUAUCGGGCUGUCAACACAAAUGCUCCACAAUAUCCUAGAUUAAAGGCAAAUGGUGCCGGUGUACACGUGACCGCCGAUUUUGUCUUAAUGCCAAAUUUUAAGGAUCAAUGGUUUCUAACCAAAGACCACGGCAUUGUAAAGUUUUUGGAAGCGAAGCAAUCUUCUUCGUUUCCCAUCACCGUAGUUGGAGUCCGGUUUUUGUCAGUGGCGGAGAUUUUUAAUGUAACAGCAGACGAUAAUGCUUUUCCUCCAUUUUCGUCUGCUGAAUUACAUAUUUACCAAUCGCAAGAAAAUGCUCCGUCACAAUUGAUGGAAGUGCCAUGGACUGAUAUUAGGUGCAAGCUAGUUGCAGUCCGGUUACCUACCCAUUCCCUAAAUCGAAAACCCCAACACCCACUACCUCCACGUCCCAAUCCUGAUACUAUUGGUUUCUUUCCCCUUCUACACACUUUUAUGCUAGAAUAAUACUCCUUCUACUAAUCCACUAAUUGCUCCUACUAAAUCCUUUAUUUCUAUUAACUAACGGCUUCCUAUCUUUUACUAAAAUACUAACUAACUACUAAUAUAUUUUCCGAUAGGUGGUUCACGUUAAAAGUUGAUUUGAUUUAUUCAUCCACAGGCUCCUUUUUGGGCCGCGUGAACAACCUGAUGUUCCAAGGGAGGUAACAAGUGGCACUUUCAUCGCGAUUCCGGUACAUCGUGCUCAGGGGGGGCGUAGACGACCCUUUUAACCGCAUGGAUGGCACCUGGAUGGUUUAACCCCGUGCGUAGCAUAAAUUUACUAACAUGUUUGUAAUGCAUUGAUUAGGUAGGUAGGUAGAUAGAUAGAUAGAUAGAUAGAUAGAUCGAUAGAUAGAUAGAUAGAUAGAUAGAUAGAUAGAUAGAUAGAUAGAUAGAUCGAUAGAUAGAUAGAUAGAUAGAUCGAUAGAUAGAUAGAUAGAUAGAUCGAUAGAUAGAUCGAUAGAUAGAUAGAUAGAUAGAUAGAUAGAUAGAUAGAUCGAUAGAUAGAUAGAUAGAUUUAAAAAUAUUCUUUUCUGUUGCAUUCUGUUUUUUUCCUUUUUCUUAAGACAGAUAGAUUCAUAUGUAGAAAGAUAGAUAUAUAAGCAUGUAGGUCGAUAGAUAGGUGAUCCUGUGAUAGAGCGCAUUUGCAUUUAGAUAGGGUUUAAGAGUGGAUAGGUUUUUUGGAAAGAUGGAUAGGACGUUAGGUACUUCUUUGAGGAUUAAGGUCGCAUCGGAUUAACCAUCGAGGAUUUUAUAUUCGAGCUUGCGGGACACCGUGAUCCGCCAACCUUCUCCUAGACGUGCGCUUUAGUCCUCUUGGUCGAUGACUUUUUCGAAGUGUGGGUGGCUGGUGCAGGAGUAGUGGAAUUGCAUGCAUAUUAACUAUACUAAAAUGACUAACAAUACUAACAUGUUCGGUAAGAGGGUGGAUCCGACGCCACAUGGGGGCACCUCUAUCACAACAUAAAACUAUCGAACUUAUUUGCUGCUUAAGCUCAAGUGCCACCCUACAGGCUAAUAUAGGCUCUCCUCCCUAACUCCUACUCAUUACGUCCGCGGCGUGCCGAAUGGCAACAUGCGAUUUUAUUGCAUGGCUAAAAUGAGAGGGGGAAAUGGAUAUAAAUGUGUACUAACUAUGCAAAUGGAAAAGGAAGUAUUGUAUAAGAUUGAAUAAUAUUUUACAUUGUCCUAACCGUAUGUAUACUAACAAAUUAUAAAACACUGUAAAUGAUCUGUGUAUAUUUUUUAUAUUUAUUAACUCAUGUAUUAUGUUUUUUUAUUUCAUAUUAAAUCUUUUAACUUUUUUAUUUUAUUUUAUUUUUUUACAUGAUUACGGCUUUUGCCGUAUCGUCAACCACAGAAGGCUGAAGUAGUUACAAUUUUCACAAGACAUUUCCUGCUUGUCCUUUGCCUUAUCCCGGGCAUACUCGGUUGGGAAUCUGGGGUUUGUGGUUAUUGCUAUUUUUGUUACUAUUGUUGUAUUACUAACUAUUAUUGUAUUACUAACUUAUCUAAAUAGAUAUUUAAUUUUGUAUUUAUAAAUCCUUUUGAACGGCUUGGCCGUACUAAUAUGAUUUUUUAAUAAUUAUAUCCUGAAUUACAGCUUUGUACUUAUGAAUUUCAUUCAACUAUUUGGAUUUUUCAAUCACAUUUCAAUGGCAUACGAUGAUUUAGGGUGCGGCCCGGUGGUGUAUGUGAUAAACGGCGCCGGUUCCACACGAAAGGAUCGGGUAUCAAAUCCCAUCUGGACCGUCCCACGUAGCUAGGACUAACUAUAAGGCUACGUGUUAAAAACAAGUUUAGUAAGCCAGAAACGGACGGCAUGACUUGAAAGGUCGUUAAACCAAGAAGAGAGAUCAAAUCGGCGCCGAACCGGACCGUUCUGCAGUGCUUGUAUAUUGCAGGUGAGCGAAAAGAACAAGCGCAUGUUUACAAUAUUGGACCCCGUGACGAACCCGUAUUCCGUUUACGGCAUGCGCUUCUUCGCAGGUUUUGCAAGCGAAGUCUAUCCUUAGCAUGAAAAAUCUUCUGCUUGAGGAUUUUAUCAAACGUUGCUUUCUCGCGGAUAUCGAAACCUGCAACUCGUCGCAGCAACGUUUGAAAGUUCGUAUACUUUUUUAUUGGAACUUUUGGUCCGUUUUUGCCCCCACCAA